AAUUGGGGUGGAGAGAGGGCAAUGGAACUACAGCCGACAAACAAGGAAUUUCUGUGUAGCCUCAGGCAUUGAUAUGCAAAUGAACAAUUCCUGAAAUUAGUUCUGGUUCAAGGUCCCACCAGAGGACAGUUCAUGCGGUUGCCUCCCCACUGUGUUUCCGGGAGAAUUACCCAUGAGAAUUAUUCAAACACACUCCUAACACUUUCUUUUCCCCUUUUAGCUACUUCUCCUCUCCUUCGGCCUGUCUGUUUUCACUGUGUCAAAUCAGCCGCAAGCUUUCCGCAUUUGGAAGACGCAAACACCGAGAGCCAUCAGAUUCAUCCGCAUGAAAAAAAUUCGCCUUUGCUUUCAAACAUGUUCUCUAUUCUCUCUCUCCUGUUCUCCAGACCUAUUCUCCCAAUCAUGUUCGUGACGUGUUUCUUAAUCCUGGGUUUCUCAAUCUCUUUUUUAACUUUAAAUAAAUGCAUUCAAUAGAAAUGUCUUUGGAGAUCAUUAUUUUGUUGUGGUAGACAAUAUAUGGCCCCUUGUUGUUGUUGUUGUUGUUUUUGUAGGAUUUUAUCUUAGAAACUUAAUAGAGAGAUAGGUUUAUCAUGCAUAUAAACUUGUUCUGUUUACUGCAAGGUAGUCAUGGCAAGUCAUGCACGUAGGCUCUCAAGACAUCAUUUAGAAGCAGAGAAUCGUAAUUAACAAUUACAAUUAAAAUGUUAGUUCAGCACAACUAGAUGGUGCCCAGCUACCAUCACGGAUUGCUCUGACAGGGAUCACAAUAGAGGGUCCCAGACAGAGCUGAAGAAAACUGUAGAACAAAAUUCUAACUCGCAAAAAGAAGACUCGACUUACUGGUCUGACAGAGACUGGAGAAACCUGGAGAGUAUGGCCCCCAGACACCCUUUUAGCUCAGUAAUGUAGUCACUCCUGAGGUUCACCCUUCAGCCUAAAUUUAGACGGGUCCCUAAAAUAAAACCAGACUACAGGAGCACACGGAAACCCUGGUAGGGUAGUGGUUAAGUGCUACCGCUGCUGAACCAAAGGGUUGGCAGUUCAAAUCCGCCAGGCGCUCCUUGGAAACUCUAUGGGGCAGUUCUACUCCGUCCUAUAGGGUCGCUAUAAGUCAGAAUAGACUGGAUGGCACUGGGUAUGGUUUUGGGUAUUUAAGCGAGCACACACACCAGCCCAGGGGCAAGGAUGAGAAAGCAGAAGGGGACAGGAAAUCUGCUAACAGGAAGGGGAGAAUGUUGACAUGUCACGGGGUUUUUCCCGAGGGCCCCUUUCUCGGUGGAGCCCAGCCGGAUUCAUGCCGCCCAAUAAGACUAUUAAGGCAGCCUGGAGUCACACAAGCAAAUUUAUUUUGCCAGCAGCUAGCAAAAGAAGCCAGCAAGGGCUAGAACCUUCAGAGAGACUGUCUCACUGAUUUGCCUACGGAGCUAAGUAUUUAAGGGUUUCAAGAAGGAGAGCAGGAGGGGUUUUGAUGUUUAUUCAUGAGAUGGAGGGGAAGGGCGGAGAUUAAUGAGGAGGGGUUGGGUUAUGCAAAUACAGGUGUGAACCCAGGAUUUCUUCAAGGCGGAAGUCCUUCAGUUCCCCUUGACAUAACACAUUAUGGGAUGUGACGCGGGUGCACUGGUUCCCUUUGUCACAUCGUCCCUUUUGGCGAGCAUGGGAAGGACAAACUGGUCGCUUUUACCUCUUUUGCACACACUCUGCAUCUGUGGAGUCCUGCAAGAACUAUAUUAACAGUUUAUUUGCAACAUUUCAGGUCGUACCACCGCUCAGCAGGAACAUUUCGCCCCACAGGGGCCUGUGUGUUCUGUUCUCCUCUCCAGAAGGUGGGUUAUGGUUGUACCAGGUUGUUUAUUCCACUCUCUAUCCUGCUUGCCCUUUUCCUCCAGCCUAUGUGCAAAGGAGGGGGCGGAGGGCAACCGGCCCUGCUCUAGCCUAGUCCUGUCUCAGGGUCGGCAACCAAUGUCACAAGGCAAUAUGUGUAUUAAUUGUUUAAUGAGAAACUGCUUUGCUCUGUAAACCUUCAUCUAAAGUACAAUAAAAAAAAUUUUUUUUAAGUCAUCACUAGGUACUAUUAGGUAAUCAUUGUUGCAGGUAAAAUUCCACCAAUGGAUAAUAAAUUCCAGGGGCUAAAGUUUGAGAAGAAAGACGAUACUUGUACAGUCCCAAGAUGUUUAUUAAUUACAGAGGAAGAAUGGUAACUUUACUUUGGAGAAACCCAGCAGACAUCACCAUAACCAAGUGAUCAAGAUUAACAUCCUCAGCAGUAAGACACAGUGACACCCUGAACCCCGAUAUCAUGGGCUGGGAAGAACACAACAACCCUUCUGUUGAUAGUACUGCCAAAAAUGCAUUACCAAAAAAAAAAACCAAACCCGGUGCUGUCGAGUCGACUCAGACUCAUAGCGACCCUAUAGGACAGAGUAUAACUGCCCCAUAGAGUUUCCAAGGAGCGCCUAGAGGAUUCGAACUGUCAACCCGUUGGUUAGCAGCGGUAGCACUUGGCCACUGCACUACCAGGGUUUCCAAAAGAGCAUUACCCCAAACUAAUUAUGAGAAAAAAAUCAAACAAACCCAAACUGGGGGACAGUCUUCAAAAUAACUGUUAUCUAUAAAUAGUUGACACCCAUGUGUCCAGUGUCAAUGUGAUGAAAGACAAAGGAACACUGGGGAACUCUCAGACUGAAGGAGACCAAGGAGAUGCGAUGACUGUAUGCCAUGUGGGACCCUGGAAUGGAUCCUGGAACAGAAGAAGGACAUUGAUGGGAAAACUGGUGCAAGUUGAAUUGUACGAAGAAAAAAAAGAAAUCAGGCACUGAAACCCCUCUGGAGCACAGGCCAACUCUGACUUAUGAGCCAGGUUAACUCCCAGACGACUGGUCUGGUGGUUGAAAGAAAAGAAGUGACUUAAGCGACUCAAAAAGAGGUUAAAAGCUUUAUCCGACUGGUACACAGGAAUAUCAUCAGGUGACUCCCCAAUUUAAGCAGGUUCGGUUUGUUUGUUUGUUUUACAACUUCACUUGUUUUUGUUUUUUUAACUGAGUCCAUAUCCUUGUGGUUUGGACUUAGGCAGCCGUCUCUGACUUAAACUGUAACUUGGGGUUGGAGGCCGUUCCUGUCUCAGGAGUCCCUCACUGGGUGGGGGUUGUUGGUGUUGUUAGACGCUGCGGAGUCCAUGCAGACUCAUGGCGACCCCGCCUGUGCAGAGCAGAACUGCUCCACAGGGUUUUCAAGGCUGUGAUCUUUCAGAAGCAGAUUGCCAGGCCUUUCUUCAGAGGCGCCUCUGGGCAGGCCGAAUUGCCUACCUUUCAGCUAGUAGUGGAGUGCUUAAACGUUUGCACCACCCAGGAAUCCUAUAACCAUCAGAAUAGUCUGCCCCGAGAACUGGUUUUGUGGUUUAUGAGCUAGACAAAGUUCACUGAGUGGGGGAGGUAGGCAGCAUAGAUUCAAAAGGUGGCGGGGGGCGAGAGGGAGAGUGGAACCCUCUCUCAUAUCCGUUUCAGUCAUUUUACAGGACAGAAAAAACCCUAUAAACCAGUGGGAGUGUAACCAACAGGGUUAACUGCUCCCCCGCCAUCCACCACACCCCGGGUCUGUUGUCAACUCGCUUCCCGUUAAGUCAACCUGUGUAGCAGCUCAAGGUCACUUCACUGCUCCCCCUCCAUUUGGACAUGAACAACAAGUCGCAAAGCAGUCCUUAGAUUAACCGCAUACAUCACACUCCGAAAAACAACCCCCCAGCCGCCAUGACACUGCACCCCCACACAAGUUAAUUAGUUCCCAGAAUUGCCCGCCUAUUCUCAGAAGCUUCAUAAAUUAUGCCUAAGUUCCUUGUCCUGAGCCCUAAAACUACCCUGGAAUCCCCAACCUCAGGGGGCUCCAUUUGAGAGUCUCCGAGCUCCUUGCUUCACCCGCUUGUAAUAAGUCUACUUUCUCUUCCUCAAAGGCCUGGUGUCUCUCAACUGACCCGGGCGGGGCGAGGGGGGAACCCGGAGGGACCCACCCUCACCGGGUAAUAGGAGGAACGCCGGCAGUUCUUCGACUCUCCGGAGCUUGCUCACAAAGUCCGCCAGGGGGCGCGCUGGAGCUGCGCAAAGCAGGAGCUGGGAAGCCUGGAAAACCCGGAAUGCCUUGCCUGUCUCCCUCAUGGAAACCCAGAGAAACAAGGACUGGCUGCUGCACUGACGACAAGAAUGUCUCCGAACUCCGUGACCUUCAGGGAUGUGGCUGUGAACUUUACCAAGGAGGAGUGGGACCUGCUGGAUCCUUGUCAGAGGAAACUCUUCUGAGAUGUGGUGCUGGAGAACUACAGGAACCUGGUCUCCAUAGGUAAGUAUGGCACUCCUUCACUGACUCACCGAUGGGACGAAUGGUAGGUUAGCACCUCCAGUGGUCCGGGAUGUGUGCUGAGAGACAUGGCCGCAAGGGGCAGACAUCGGUUUCCCCACGAGACUGAAAAAUCUAUCCAUUGCACUGCGUUCUUAUUCUCUUCAAGAUUAAAAGCCUUUGGGGAUCUGUGAGUGGGGACAGUGGUGGGUUCAGUGCUAGAAUUCUCACCUUCCACUCAGGAGACCCGGGUUCAAUUCCCAGCCAAGCACCGCAUACACAGCCACCACCCAUCUUGUCAGUGGAGGCUUGGGUGUGGCUAUGAUGCUGAACAGGUUUCAGUGGAGCUUUCAGACUAAGAGUAGGAAGAAAGGUCUGGUGAUCUACCUUCAAAAAUCAGCCAGUGAAAACCCUGUGGAUCGCAACGGUCCAAUCCACAACCAACCAGGAAGUGUUUUGUUCCGUUGUGUAUGGGUCGCCGUGAGUCGGGGGCUGACUCCACGGCAGCUAACAACAAGUAGGUGACAUGGGGCACAGAAAAGGGUAGUUCGAGCCCUUUGGACAGAGUUUAGGUGCAUCAUAAGAAAGGUGAAGGAAUUGCUGGGCUGCUUGGAUCCUCACAUAUCCUCACAUUUGCUCAGCUGCAGAACCCCUGCAAACCAAAGCAGGGGCUCCCCCUUCAUGGCAAGUCUUGUUGUUCCGGCACCGUCUCCUCACAUCCUGUGCUUUCCCAGUGAGCAGGAUCUCAACUAGGCAAACCCUCUGUGAUCUCUCAUUUGGAACAAGAAGUGGAUCUAGAGAUAUAAACAAAAAACUUUGAGUCAACCCUGACUCAUGGCAACACCGUGACUGUCAGAGUAAAACUGUACUCCAUAAGGUUUUUAAUGGCUGUGACCAUUCAGAAGUAGAUUGCCAGGACUUUCUUCCAAGGCACCUCUGGGUGGCUUCGAACCUCCAACCUUUCAGUUAGCAGCUGAACACUUAACCAUUUGCACCACCCAGGGAUUCCUUCUAGGGACGUGUUGUUGUUGUUGUUAGGUACCAUCAAGUAGGUUCCAACUCAUAGCAACCUUAUGUACAACAGAAUGCAACAUUGCUUGGUCUUGUGCCAUCCUCACAAUCGUUAUUAUGCUUGAGCCCGUUAUUGCAGCCACUGUGUCAAUCCAUCUCGUUAAGCGUCUUCCUCUUUCUCCCUGACCCUCUACUUUACCAAGCAUGAUGUCAUUCUCCAGGGACUGGUCCCUCCUGAUAACAUGUCCAAAGUAUGUGAGAUGAAGACUCAGCACCCUUACUUCUAAGGAGCAUUCUGGCUAUACUUCUUCCAAGACAGAUUUGUUCGUUCUUCUGGCAGUCCAUACUACAUUCGGUAUUCUUCACCAACACCAUAAUUCCAAGGCAUUGAUUCUGUUUGUCUUCCAUAUUCAUUGUCCAGCUUUCAGAUGCAUAUGAAGCGAUUGAAAAUACCACAGCUUGGAUCAGGCACAUGUCAGUUCUUAAAGUGAUAUUUUUGCUUUUUAACACUUUACAGAGGUCUAUUGCAGCAAAUUUGCCCAAUGCAGUGUGUCGUUGAUUUCUUGACUGCUGCUUCCAUGGGCCUUCAUUGCAGAUCCAAGUAAAAUGAAAUCCUUUACAACUUAAAUAUUUCUCCGUUUACUGAUAUAUUGCUUAUUGGUCCAGUUGUGAGGAUUUUUGUUUUCUUUAUGUGGAAAUGUAAUCCAUACUGAAGGCCGUGGCUUUUGGUCUUCAUGGGUAAAUGCCUUAAGUCCUCUUCACUCUCAACAAGCAAGGUUGUGUGUCAUCUGCAUAUUGCAGGUUGUUAAUGAGUCUUCCUCCAAUCCUGACGUCAUGUUUUUCUUCACAUAGUCCAGCUUUUCAGAUUAUUAGCUCAGCAUAGAAAUUGAAUAAGUAUGGUGAAAGGAUACAACCCUGACUCUAAACCACGCAGUAUCCUCUUGUCUGUUCGAAAGACUGCCUCUUGGUCCAUGCACAGGUUCCUCAGGAGCACAAUUGAGUGCUCUGAAAUUCCCAUUCUUCGCAGAGUUACCCAUAAUUUGUUAUGAUUCACACAGUCAAAUGCCUUUGCAUAGUCAAUAAAACACAGGUAAACAUCUUUCUGGUGUUCUCUGCUUUCAGCCAGGAUCCACCUGACAUAAGCAGUGAUAUCCGUGGUUCCGUAUCCUCUUCUGAAUCCAGCUUGAAUUUCUGGCAGUUCCCUGUUGAUGUACUGCUGCAACCACUUUUGAAUGAUCUUCAGCAAAAUUUUAUUUGAGUGUGAUAUUAAUGAUAUUGUUGGAUAAUUUCUGCAUUUUGUUGGGUCCCCUUUUGUCUUAGUUAUCUCGUACUGCUAUAACGGAAAUACCACAAAUGGAUGGCUUUAACAAAGAGAAAUUUAUUCUCUCAUAGUCUAGUAAGUUACAAGUCUGAAUUCAGGGUGUCAGCUCCAGGCGUAGGCUUUCUCUCUUUGUUGGCUCUGGAGGAAGGUCCUUGUCCUCAAUCUUCCCAUAGUCGAGGAGCUUCUCAGGCACAGGCACCCGUGUCCAAAGGACGCGCUCUCCUCCUGGUGCUGCUUUCUUGGUGGUAUGAGGUCCCCCACUCUCUGCUUGCUUCCCUUUCCUUUUAUCUCUUGAGAGAUAAAAGGUGGUGCAGACCACACCCCAGGGAAACUCCCUUUAAGUUGGGUCAGGGAGGUGACCUGAGUAAGGGUGGUAUUACAAUCCCACCCUAAUCCUCUUAACAUAAAAUUACAAUCACAAAAUGGAGAACAACCACACAAUACUGGGAAUCAUGGCCCAACCAAGUUACUAAAUACACAUAUUUUACCACCCCCACUGCUGCAUAUUUUAGGGGGGACAUAUUUCAAUCCAUGACACCUUUCUUUGGAAUGGGUGCAAAUAUGGAUCUCUUCCAGUUGGUUGGCCAGGUAGCUGUCUUCCAAAUUUCUUGGCAUAGACGAGUGAGCACUUCCAGCGCUGCGUCCAUUUGUUGAAACAUCUCAAUUGGUAUUCUGUCAAUAACUGGACCCUUGUUUUUCAGCAGUCCCUUCAGUGCAGCUUGGACCUCUUCCUUCAGUAC